rnacentral:piRNA from 1 species
UGUCAGAUUUUCAUCCAAUCAUAAUGACCU